rnacentral:rRNA from 1 species
AGCAGUCGCCACGGUAAAACAGAGGGUGCGAGCGUUAAUCGGAUUUACUGGGCGUAAAGCGUGCGUAGGCGGCUUCUUAAGUCGGAUGUGAAAUCCCUGAGCUUAACUUAGGAAUUGCAUUCGAUACUGGGAAGCUAGAGUAUGGGAGAGGAUGGUAGAAUUCCAGGUGUAGCGGUGAAAUGCGUAGAGAUCUGGAGGAAUACCGAUGGCGAAGGCAGCCAUCUGGCCUAAUACUGACGCUGAGGUACGAAAGCAUGGGGAGCAAACAGGAUUAGAGACCCGCGUAGUCCCUGUCUCUUAUAC